rnacentral:tRNA from 1 species
AAAAUCCGUCGAUUUAAAAAAUCGUGAGGGUUC